rnacentral:lncRNA from 1 species
AGGCCCAAACCAUCUUUCGCAUAGGCCAAAAGAAUACAUCUCUCCCCAACCUCGUUUUCUCUCUCCAAUUCAUGGAUCACCCAAGGACUAGGAUUAAAGGUGUGUGUCACCAUAGCCUGUUCAUGCUUUUAUUUUGGGAAUGCAGUGUCAGUAACGUCUUGAAUGGAUACACAACGGGGUGAGGAGUAGCAGCGAGGACCAGUCCAUCAGAACACAGAUAGACCAAAGCACAGGCAUGAUACGGUGGCGAGUGUAACAUGAGAGAGCUACAGUGAGUCAAGGAGUAAUCUGCUCUUUGGGUAUGAUGAUUGGGGAAACCAGAGCUUCCUGAGACGAUGCAUCAGCUGUGACAGGGGCGUGGAGGUGACAGCUUUCAACCUUGGGCUUCAUCUCAAUGAUGAAGACACUCCUCCCCCUGCUUAUUUUGACCACAGAAGACUCAUUUUAGCAACACGUACACAUGCAGGUACAUACAUGGUAUCAAUGAGCAUAGCUUACAUCUUUUCAUGUUUAUUA